GGGUCAGUAGGUUGGUCGUGCCACCGGUACGUACUGGUCUCACUGACUCCUCCCUCCUGAAGAACCGUAAUGCCAUUAAUUUGGUGUUGCGGGGAAACAGGACUGCUACUUUGAAAAAAUUAGAGUGUUUAACGCAAGCUAACGCUUGAAUACAUUAGCAUGGAAUAAUGAAAUAGGACGAUCGAUCCUAUUUUGUUGGUUUCUAGGAUUGACGUA
rnacentral:rRNA from 1 species